rnacentral:rRNA from 1 species
CCUUCCAGGGGGCCUCCCGCCCCCGCAGGUACCUCAGCUAGUAUCGCGCCCGCGACCUCAUGUGCGAGUUCAUGACCGAGUUCAGGAAGUGGGCGCUGGUCAAGUUCGAGUUGCCGGCGUGGCGGCUCGAGAGGUUGGAGCUAUAGUUACCGCUGCGCGACGUGCGGUCGGACCCGGACGGAGGCCGCGAGUGGCAGCUUGCGCGCGCCCAGCCCUUCGAGGUCUAGUGCGACGGUAGCCACAGUUUACACGUUCACCUCGGUUAACACCAGUUGUAACUGUUUGAACUAGAGCACGAACAUCUCUUCCUGCUAAGUCUUUUAGAAAGGUCGGGAUGGUCGUUACGCAGUAGUUGUCGUGGUUGAUUUUCGUGGCCUAUACCUAUACGACUGUUCUAACGUCUACCGUACUGACAUGUUCAUCCAUAGCACUUGGACGAUAACCUUUGUGUACCUCCACGAGCGGCCGUUCCUCUACGUUGUACCAGUGGAGGCGAUCGACGAUAGUGUAAAGCACUAGAGCAUGACAUGUGUUGUUUGCUUUUUACCGUCCGACAUUUAAACUUUCUUCGUUCCCUAAAGAGGUUGUCGUGUCCUAAAUAAAUACAAAAGUUCUUUAACCUUACCGCCAGUGACAGUCAACUAGAAAAUGGGGUAGGACUGUACAAACGGCUACGUGCUAAAUUGAGAAGUUCGUCAGUUCUAUUGUUUGCUCUACUACUACCACGUUUCGCUUACAAGAAACCGCCGCUUUCCAAAAACCUUCCUUAUAGUCCCCUCCGAUUAUAUUGAGACGUUGCUUGCCUCGUCUUGUUGGGUGAACCGGACCUCCAAGUCGACGUACAAUGACUUCGAGAGACAGGACGAAAUUCACUUGGACCAAAUGCCCGCAAAGAAGCUAAGUACUGACCCCAUAGACGCACGAAUUUAUCUCCUCUAAACCUGGGUUUCAGAGUUGUCGUACGUCUUCGUCGUCCUAGAAGGAACCAUAGGAAAUAACAUCUAGUGUAUAAGGAAACGUAAUUUCUACGACUCAAAGUCGAACUUGAAGAUUACGUUAGCGACAAGAAGAGUGCCCGAUCGUAAAGUCUGCCCCUCUCAAGUUUUUUGAACAGAACGUAUUUCCAACGACCCAACAAAGACUCCCUGUGUAAAAGAGCAGGAGGUACGUGUAACUAUGUUGGUAGAUACGUCCGACAAGGUGUUCUUGGGAACGGAUAGGGACUAAAACCAGUUUUAAAGACAGGAGGAUAGAUAGGUAAACCCUUAGUCAAGAACCUUAAGCGACGACCUUAAGGAAACAAAAGGGAAAUAACAGAGGUCUGGUGAGGAAGAGGUAGUGGAGGUUUCAAACGAAGCUUUUGUCAGUAGUGUACGGUCGGAGAAUACCACUGGGAAGUCCUUGUUAGGACGAAUUCUUAACGGAGUAAGAAUCGACUACCUCAACACGGGUUAGUGUCACGGUGUCAACGACUAAGGAGUUAAUUGUCGGACAGCAAAAGAGAGUUUCUCAAGCUAGAUAGACAAGGCAAUCUACGACUUCUUUAACGUUCCACGUCACCUUGGUUCUGGCGAAUGAGGGUCAGUAGUAAAAGUCCUCGUUCUGAAGUACAUCUCCUGGAUGUGAAGACGCUCAGUGGUAGUCGUUUGACAAGUGACGAUUUGGAACUGUUUCUAGGUCGAACGAAGGAAGAAACCCUUAUAGUUGGACAACUACGGUCGGUCUCCUUCACCCAAUCAUCUCGAAGAGUAGAUUCGGAGAGCGAACUUUGGAGAUCAUGAAGUUUACCUGUCUCUCAUCACUCCCUAGGGAGAGGUUUACACAACUUUACAUAACUUAAUCUACUGUAAGCUAAACUCCGUCGAUACCAAUGGCGUCUACCAUCGGGAGACACACUAAACGGUGGGGGUCUCCCCCAACACUCUUAACCACAACGAAAGGUUGUCAAGUAGAGAUUGUGAAGUCAACUCGUCAACAAAAAACAGAAUCCGGAGAUACCGAUGAAACCUGUUCAACCUCUUGCUUAAAGUUUCCAAUCAUUUCCAUUGUUCAGACCGUUUCUAUCACUCGGAAGUCAACUGUUAGAAGUCUUUUUUGAAGGGUCACUAUGUCGACACUCGAAUUGAUACUUAUCAGAGGUCGAGUUAAAGAACCUUGUAAACAGUCGCCCUCUGUAUGUAUACGGGAACCAAGUCAAACCACCUCUCCUAGAGAUGGACUUUCAAAGAGUAGCGUGAGAUCCACCACGGAAACGUCAGUGUUGAUUGCACUACACCUCUUGACAGAGUCAUUUGACAAACCUUCCUCUUUGACGAUGUUAGGUACUCUUACCGUGACGGCACUACCCACUUGUAUUGCAACACCAUACACUUUUACCCGUAGGGUUCUACUCUGGCCACAAAACCCAACUGGUAGCCUCGUUCGUGGUACGAUUUCCACGAGUUAAGUAACUGUAUUUGUAGUGAGUACAUUACGGAAUACUGUACUCCCUAUACCUCACGGUAUCGAACUUACAUAGUAGCUUCCAUAGACCACAGGCAGAGCCUCCACCUGACUCAAUAUGGCUCAGAAAUGACGUAGCAAAGCCAUAAGAACCUGGACUACCACCAGGUCCCCUUCCGGAGAACUCUCCGGACUUCCUAAAUAGAAGACCGGGUGAGCCCUUUGACAAGUUUGGUAGAGUGCAGUGGCUGUUCCUUCGUUCUUGGCUUCUGUUACUGUCGUUAAGCUUCAAACUAGACCCCCACGGUCUACUAGAACUACACAGUCAACUCAAUUCUUUGACCAACAAGCGUGAACUUCCCUGUCUUCUUCAUCCUCUAACCAGAAGGGGAGCAUCACUACUAGGAUAAUCAUCCCUUCUGUUUACAACCGUAUGUUGUAAGUCCUUAGACGUGAACAGUCCGUUUUCGUCACUGGCUGGAUUGAACCCUCCACGUCUCUUCCACAACUUGUUCUUCCGUAAAGGUCACCUCGCAAAAUGCCGACCUUAGCUUCCAAAUGUCCGUUAAUUUGGAGCGAACUCUUUAGUUGAACAACCUUUACCUUUUAAUUUAUUAUCAGUCAGUCCGUCACCUAACUUGUUAAGUUCACGAUAACCACUGGUUCCACAACUACAACUUCGAUGGUACCAGUAACCGCUUCUACUAUGACCCCUCCGGUUCACCUACUACCUAUUACAUUUCAAAAGUCAAUUUCUUGGCUAACUCCGGCACCGUUUUUCUCUUCUCGACCUCGUGGAACGGUACUAAACGUCUAGACUUCGACUACGUUACCCCUCCUAGUGACGACCUUAAGAGGCAGACGAAUUUGAACUAUUCAGAGAACCCGUCCCUUGGUAGCUUGUCGACUCCUUGGAUCCUUCACCUCCGUACCUGUUGUAAAAGAGCGGAUCGUCCAAGUCGUCCGUCUUGUCAAAACCGUCGCAUUCGUGGGGAUCCUGGGGGUCCUGGGGUUACAAAGUAUGUUUGUGCUGAUGCCCCAGCUUUCUCCGGGACCUUCGCUGUUAGCGAAGCGAUGUCUCGCUUUAAAGUCUUAGGUUCCGGUCUACGCGCAGGGAUUGUUCGUGACUUCUACUCUUGGCACGGCUCCUGUAGGCCGUCGACUGGCUGUUCGAUCUCUCGUACGUCAGGGACCACUGUUCUUACUCUUGAAACUAGACUCGACAUUUACACAGUAAAGAAACCUCACAUGUCCGACCCGUUUCACCAUGUUUUCACCCAUCGCCGAUUACGACGCGAAAAACGCUUUAAUAAGAAAACAAACACAUGUAGAUAAUGUACAAGGAACCCCAUAUUUCCACCUUCCCACCUUAUUUCCCAAAGGACCUAAUACAAAACAUCGACCUUCAGUCCCACCCGUCGUUGUCGUCGUCGUCUUUUAAAACAUCGACCUUCCUACGUAUUUUACAUCGCCGCACUAGUUUCAUCAGCAAUCCUUCUUAGCUUGACAAUAAACAUACAUACUACUAUACGUGUAUCACAAAACCGCGUAGGCCAGAAAAUAAAUAAAAACGAAUUAUAUAGGUGACCUCCGGACCUCUAACAAAAACGCCACACGUAUCAAUUUCAAAACCUAGUUCAACAGUACAACCACUAACUACUACAAGCGGAGAAGUCCCUCCGUAAGUCUCUCAUCAGGUAUCAACACCGGUGACUAGUCGGAGGCUGCAAGUCACCGGGUCCGAAGGAGAAGAAAGAAGGGGACAUUUGAGAUUUUACAUGUCAACAGGGAGAGGAUAUUACGUUACUGUCGAGGACAGCCAAGCCC